rnacentral:lncRNA from 1 species
UGGGGACUGCCCUCUGGAUGGCAUGAGUAGGCAUCAGCUUGGAGUGGGAGAAACUAUGAGUCACUUGGUUGUUUUCAGUAAGUGGCAGGGAGUUUAAAAAGAGAACGGAUAGCUACAUUCCAAAUCGCAAAAAAUGUAAAAAAUCAUAUGGGCAUGAAUAACAUUCAGCCACAAAUAUUUAUGAAGCUUCUGCUGUGUGCCAGACAAAAUGGCUGGGUAUUAGGACUAUGACAGUGAAGAUAACACAGCCCUUGCUCUCAAGGAUUUACAGUUGAUGAGAAAGGCAGACAAAUCCAGGAGGCAUUAUAAUCCACCAUGACAGCUGCUGAGCUCUUCUGUGGGAAUUUGCAGCAGUGGCACCCACAUAUGUGGGCAUUUGGAGAAAGUGGGGAAAGCUUCCAGGAGGAAAUGAUGUCUUAACUGGGACAGAAGCAAGAAGAGUCAGCCAGCUUGGAUCUCCUGACCUUGGCCUGGACCUGGAUCUGGGAGGCUGACUCUAUUGACCAUGGGGAAGGAGCUAACAGGAUUGAACCUCAGGACCGUCCUCUGCAAAAUGAGGAAUUUAGGCUAGCACAGUGGUUCUCAAAGUGUGGUCCCCAGACCAGCGACCUCAGCAUCGCCCUGGAACUAGUUAGAAAUGCACAUUCUCUGGUCCCAACCCAGACCUACUGAACCAGUGCCUCUGGGAGUGGAUCCCAGAAAUCUGUGUUUUAACACACGUGCUAUCUAGGAGGUUCUGAUGCAGGCCAAAGUUCGAAAACCGCUGAACUGGAAGAUCUCUAAAAUUCCUCCUAGGAGAUAAACCUUUAAGACUUGCUAUAAGAAUUAAGUGCCAUGAUUAUGGUGCAUAUUAUUUAUGAAACUUGUUCAAUGUGCCCUGCCCUUCCUAUUCAUUAUCUCUACAACCUCCUUCUAAAAUAAGUAUCAAUUAAAAGUAUUUUCCAAAUGAGCAAAAGGAGGCCCGGAGAGGUUAAAUAAUUCAUCAGGAGACACGCAGCUGGAGAUGAACAGGAGGAGGAUUUGAAUGGGAAGCCAUCUCAGUGUGCUCUCUCUACUACCUCCCAUGAGCAAACACAGUGACAAGUGAACUCAAUGAAUAUCAUUUUCCGGUGAUUCUGUGACCUUUGAGUACCUGCAUCCUCCUACCUUAACCAACUUUGCCAGCCUCCUUCACUGCCCUACCUGAUCGACAGUAAUUUCCAGCUCUCUUCCUUCCCCCAUGCUCAGCCCAACACCCAGCCCUGGCUUUCUCACCUUCCUGGGACCCCCUGCGUUCCACGGUAGUGAACAGAGACACACGACAGCCAUUCCGUGGAUCUACAGUGACUGUUCUCCUGGACACAGAGCCAACGUGGCUACUGAAGGAAAGAGGCCAGUCCUAAGUUCAGGAUCUGUGACGGCCUGGAAAAUGUACUCUGUCCCCCCACAACCUCCCGCUACAACCUCCCCCUAAAAGAAAAACUUUCUACAGGUGAUGUUGAGAUUGCCACAGGCUUUGGUCCUCACAGACUGCAAAUACCUAUGGGAGAAAGAAUGCUUCCACAGAGGAGCGCCGAGGGGAAGGAGAGCACCUCACUGGGAUGGGAUGGGAGUGGGGUGACAGCACCGCCCAGAGGCAUACAAGCUGGCCUCUCUCUGGUUUUGUGGAGGCGGCCCUUGCUGGUAUCCUAGAGUUGUCUCCCUGGCCUGCUUAGCAACGCACAGCUCCUAGGGGCCAUCACCCACUAGGAGGGCAGGGCCUUUUGUCUUUUUUUUUUUUUUUUUUUUUGAGACAGAGUCUCUGUCUAUCACCCCAGCUGGAGUGCAGUAGCAUGAUCUCGACUCACUGCAACCUCCGCCUCCCGGGUUCAAGCGAUUCUCCUGCCUGCCUGAGCCUCCUGAGUAGCUGGGAUUACAGGAGUACGCCACCAAGCCCGGCUAAUUUUUUAUUUUUAGUAGAGAUGGGGUUUCACCAUGUUGGCCAGGCUGGUCUCAAACUCCGGACCUCAUGAUCCACCCACCUUGGCCUCCCAGAGUGCUGGGAUUACAGGUGUGAGCCACUGCACCCGGCCAGAUUUUUGUCUUUUUACUGUUGUAUCUCCCCACAUAGUAAGUGCCUAAUCAAUUGAGUUGAAUAAAUGAAUUCUUG